AUGUAUACCUGUGUGGUAGCAGCCAUCAUUGCCUUAUCAGGACAUUGUGGAGGAGAUUCUGUGACGCAGCGCCAAUCUACUGUGAUAACGAAUGAAGGGGAUGAUGUUUAUCUGCAGUGUAAUUACACAACAACGAGCAUCAACACUCCCUAUCUCUUCUGGUACCGACACUAUCCCAACAAAGCUCCAGAGUAUAUCCUCAGAACAGACACCAGCAACAAGUUCCCGGACUACGCCGACUUCGCAAAAGAACGUUUCUCAACGAUUGUGUCUAAAGCGGAGAGAACCGCCCCAAUAAAUAUAUCCCAAGUGAGAGUGACAGACUCCGCGGGGUAUUACUGUGCACUGAGCCCCACAGAGGCACAGAUCAGCGAUUCCGCCCUACAAAAACUGCCAUGUGGAGUCCUGUAG